rnacentral:rRNA from 1 species
CCAGACUCCUACGGGAGGCAGCAGUGAGGAAUAUUGGUCAAUGGGCGCGAGCCUGAACCAGCCAAGUCGCGUGAGGGAUGACGGUCCUACGGAUUGUAAACCUCUUUUGCCGGGGAGCAAGCGUGCGUUCGUGAACGCGCGUCGAGAGUACCCGGAGAAAAAGCAUCGGCUAACUCCGUGCCAGCAGCCGCGGUAAUACGGAGGAUCCGAGCGUUAUCCGGAUUUAUUGGGUUUAAAGGGAGCGUAGAUGGGUUGUUAAGUCAGUUGUGAAAGUUUGCGGCUCAACCGUAAAAUUGCAAUUGAUACUGGCAGCCUUGAGUACAGUUGAGGUAGGCGGAAUUCGUGGUGUAGCGGUGAAAUGCUUAGAUAUCACGCAGAACUCCGAUCGCGAAGGCAGCCUACCGGCGCGCAACUGACGCUCAUGCACGAAAGCGUGGGUAUCGAACAGGAUUAGAUACCCUUGUA